ACUCAACACAGCCUCUCUGUAAUGUUUAUGCAAAUCUGCAUCUCCUCUUGUAAUAUUAGCAGCGUUCUGAUCUAGAGAGGAAACACUUCUCAUUAGUCUUCCUUCAACACAAACAUGUUUGCUUCAGCUCCACUGCUGCUGCUGGCUCUCGCCCCCUAUGUGUUCUGUGCUACUGAGCUCAUCCAGCCAGACUCACUGCUUAUAAAGCCAGGAGAGACUUUAACCAUCACCUGUAAAGUGUCUGGAGCUUCUAUCACUGAUAGCAGCAGCCACUUUGGAACAGCUUGGAUUCGACAACCUGCAGGAAAAGCUUUAGAAUGGAUCAACACCAUUUAUUAUGAUGAAGAUAUUUAUAAGAAAGAUUCACUUAAAGACAAGUUUGUGGUCUCUCGAGACACUUCCAGUAACUCUGUGACCUUACGGGGACAGAACAUGCAGACUGAAGACACAGCUGUGUAUUACUGCGCUCGUCAUCCACACAGUGACACAACAAGCUGCAGUGCUGCACAAAAACCUCAUCACAAUUUGAAGUUUGUGUCACACGACUGA